UAUAUAUGUACUCCCUCUGUAAAGAAAUAUUAGAGUGUUUAGAUCACUUAAGUAGUGAUCUAAACGCUCUUAUAUUUCUUUACGGAGGGAGUACUGUA
rnacentral:pre_miRNA from 1 species